GUCCGCCCGCCCUCGGCUCCGCCGCCGUGAUGCUGUCCCGGUCCCGCUGUGUAUCCCGGGCGUUCAGCCGCUCGCUCUCCGCCUUCCAGAAGGGGUCUCCUUAUGCCAGGGACCAGGUUACCCUAACAGCAGGAAGGUUGUAGGAUGACUUGGUUACAGUCAAAACCCCAGCGUUUGCAGAAUCCGUCACAGAGGGAGAUGUCAGGUGGGAGAAAGCUGUUGGAGACACAGUUGCAGAAGAUGAAGUGGUUUGUGAGAUUGAAACUGACAAGACAUCUGUGCAGGUUCCAUCACCAGCAAAUGGCGUGAUUGAAGCUCUUUUGGUACCUGAUGGGGGAAAAGUCGAAGGAGGCACUCCACUUUUCACACUCAGGAAAACUGGUGGUAAAGAAGUUCUCCUGGUGGUCAAGGUCUCCAGUGUUCCCUCUUGGGAUUGGGACUGAGCAUAAUAUGCUAAUUCCCCGAUAUGUCAAAGACUCUGUCAUUCCAGCUGCCCUUAGUUGAGGGAAUAAGGGGUAAAUUUAUAUAUAGUGUGAACUUUAAAUGUCAAAUUCUAAAAGAAAAGU
rnacentral:sRNA from 1 species